AUGCACUCUGGUAUCAUAUAUACUAAAAUUGGAACAAUACAAAGAAAAUUAACAUAGCCUCUGCACAAGGAUAACACACAAAUUUAUGUUGUUCCAUAUUUUU